UACAGAGGUCUCAAGCGUUGUUCGGAUUCAUUGGGCGUAAAGGGUGCGUAGGUGGCGCCGUAAGUCAGGUGUGAAAUUUCGGAGCUUAACUCCGAAACUGCAUUUGAUACUGCGGUGCUUGAGGACUGGAGAGGAGACUGGAAUUUACGGUGUAGCAGUGAAAUGCGUAGAGAUCGUAAGGAAGACCAGUGGCGAAGGCGGGUCUCUGGACAGUUCCUGACAGCUGAGG
rnacentral:rRNA from 1 species